CCCUUGCGCGCUCGCUUCGAAAUAUUGGCAGUCGGAACGGCAGUUACAUGGACGAGUAACAAGUUGCACAAAACACAUGAACUUCGUGCGGCAGUUUCAAAUGAUGCUGUUCUGCGUAAAUGCCAAAUGUGAUGCAACGGGAGUCUCGGCGCAGCGGUGCGGUGUAGGAUGUCCAAUCACGGCGAGAACUCGUCUGAGGAGACCAAUGGGAGGCUUGCCCGCGUUGUCACGCUUCUUGAGGAGGAACG